ACAAAAUGUUAUAUAUAAAUUCAGUGGAAUAUUAUUCAGUCUUUAAAAAAAGGAAAUUUUGACACGUGUAACAUUGAUGUUAGGGACUAAAUGUUUGUGUCCUCUGAAAUUCAUAUGUUGAAAUCCUAACUUCCCAUGUGAUGGUAUUAGGAGUUGGGGCUUCUGAGAAGUGAUUAGGUCAUGAGGGUCAAGCCCUUAUGAAUGGGAUUAGUGUUCUUAUAAAAGAGACCCCAGAAAGUUCUCUUGCACCUUUUCCUAUGUGAGGACAUAGCUCAAAGAUGGCCUUCUAUGAACCAGGAAAUGGUCCCUCACCAGACAUCAAAUCUGUUGCCACUCUGAUCCUGAACUUCUUGCCUCCAAAACUGUGGAAAAUAAAUUUCUUUUGUUUAUAACCCACCCAGUUCGAGGUAUUCUGUUUCAGCAGCCUGAAUGGACUGAGACAACGAAUGAACCUUUAGGACAU
rnacentral:lncRNA from 1 species